rnacentral:rRNA from 1 species
CCUACGGGUGGCAGCAGUCGAGAAUCAUUCACAAUGGGGGAAACCCUGAUGGUGCGACGCCGCGUGGGGGAAUGAAGGUCUUCGGAUUGUAAACCCCUGUCAUGUGGGAGCAAAUUAAAAAGAUAGUACCACAAGAGGAAGAGACGGCUAACUCUGUGCCAGCAGCCGCGGGAAUACAGAGGUCUCAAGCGUUGUUCGGAAUCAAGGGGCGUAAAGCGUGCGUAGGCUGUUUCGUAAGUCGUGUGUGAAAGGCGCGGGCUCAACCCGCGGACGGCACAUGAUACUGCGAGACUAGAGUAAUGGAGGGGGAACCGGAAUUCUCGGUGUAGCAGUGAAAUGCGUAGAUAUCGAGAGGAACACUCGUGGGGAAGGCGGGUUCCUGGACAUUAACUGACGCUGAGGCACGAAGGCCAGGGGAGCGAAAGGGAUUAGAUACCCUAGUAGUC